GGGGGUGGGGGCGGCCUACACGUGCAGUCGAGGGGUAUGCCGAUUUAUCGGCAGAGACCGGCGCACGGGUGCGUAACGCGUAUGCAAUCUGCCUUCCACAGAGGGAUAGCCCAGAGAAAUUUGGAUUAAUACCUCAUAGCAUCAUGUUCCGGCAUCGGGAUAUGAUUAAAGUCACGACGGUGGAAGAUGAGCAUGCGUCCCAUUAGCUAGUUGGUAAGGUAACGGCUUACCAAGGCUACGAUGGGUAGGGGUCCUGAGAGGGAGAUCCCCCACACUGGUACUGAGACACGGACCAGACUCCUACGGGAGGCAGCAGUGAGGAAUAUUGGUCAAUGGACGCAAGUCUGAACCAGCCAUGCCGCGUGCAGGAUGACGGUCCUAUGGAUUGUAAACUGCUUUUGUACGGGAAGAAACACUCCUACGUGUAGGAGCUUGACGGUACCGUAAGAAUAAGGAUCGGCUAACUCCGUGCCAGCAGCCGCGGUAAUACGGAGGAUCCAAGCGUUAUCCGGAAUCAUUGGGUUUAAAGGGUCUGUAGGCGGUCUUGUAAGUCAGUGGUGAAAGCCCAUCGCUCAACGGUGGAACGGCCAUUGAUACUGCUGGACUUGAAUUACUGGGAAGUAACUAGAAUAUGUAGUGUAGCGGUGAAAUGCUUAGAGAUUACAUGGAAUACCAAUUGCGAAGGCAGGUUACUACCGGUGGAUUGACGCUGAUGGACGAAAGCGUGGGUAGCGAACAGGAUUAGAUACCCUGGUAGUCCACGCCGUAAACGAUGGAUACUAGCUGUUGGUGGCAACAUCAGUGGCUAAGCGAAAGUGAUAAGUAUCCCACCUGGGGAGUACGAACGCAAGUUUGAAACUCAAAGGAAUUGACGGGGGCCCGCACAAGCGGUGGAGCAUGUGGUUUAAUUCGAUGAUACGCGAGGAACCUUACCAAGGCUUAAAUGGCAGACUGGACCGAAUUUGGAAACAGAUCUUUCGCAAGACAGUUUACAAGGGGCUGCAUGGGUUGUCCGCAGCUCCGGGCCCUGAGGGUGUCAGGGUUAAGUCCCUAUAACCGAGGCGCAACCCCCUGUUUGGUAAUUUGCCAACCAAGUGGAUGGCCGGGAAACUCUAAACAAGAACUGCCCAGUGCCAAACCUGGUGAAGAAAAAUUG
rnacentral:rRNA from 1 species